rfam:Schistosoma rodhaini strain Burundi genome assembly, scaffold: SROB_scaffold0002752
AUCCAGCUGACUAGUCCCAAAUAGGACGAGACACGAGUACUGGAU